UACGGAGGGGGCUAGCGUUGUUCGGAAUUACUGGGCGUAAAGCGCGCGCAGGCGGUCUUCCAAGUCAGUGGUGAAAGCCCGGAGCUCAACUCCGGAACUGCCAUUGAAACUGUAAGACUUGAGGAUGAGAGAGGUGAGUGGAAUUCCCAGUGUAGAGGUGAAAUUCGUAGAUAUUGGGAAGAACACCGGUGGCGAAGGCGGCUCGCUGGCUCAUUACUGACGCUCAGGCGCGACAGCGUGGGGAUCAAACAGG
rnacentral:rRNA from 1 species